rnacentral:rRNA from 1 species
UACGAAGGGGGCUAGCGUUGCUCGGAAUCACUGGGCGUAAAGCGCACGUAGGCGGCUUGUUAAGUCAGGGGUGAAAUCCUGGAGCUCAACUCCAGAACUGCCUUUGAUACUGGCAAGCUUGGAGUCCGGGAGAGGUGAGUGGAACUGCGAGUGUAGAGGUGAAAUUCGUAGAUAUUCGCAAGAACACCAGUGGCGAAGGCGGCUCACUGGCCCGGUACUGACGCUGAGGUGCGAAAGCGUGGGGAGCAAACAGGG